GUAUUUUAUUUUCAGCUUGUUUGAAUUAUCCCUUCAAAGUGUGUUCUGUCACCUGAGUUCUAAGUCAGCCAUUGUUGGCAAAAACAAAUCUUUACUGCUCUACAGAGGAAGAAACACACACUCAUGUGUGUACACACACACACACACACACACACACACACACACACACACCACACACAAUCAAACAUUAAUUCAGGAAUUCCCUCUUUGUUACAUUCCCAGUGAACAUGAUAGUGGUUAGGCUUCUAUGUGUACUCUUUAUAGUUCUUUAGGCCCGAGUAAAAUCUAUGUAGAACUAUUGUAAUUGAGAUACUUUGUUUUCUAAAGAGACUUGCUGAGUUUCUCACCUUUUCACCUGUUGUUCAUAGGAUUUUUCUCUCCUUGUUUUUAUUUGUUGUACAAAGAUAAUAGUAAAAAUAGAGAAAUUGCUCAGUCCUACCACAUGAAUUGUUACAAGUGUUCUGUGUUCCUUGUACGUCUUUGUCAUUUGAAGUGUAGUGUAACUUUGUCUUCGGGGUUUUAGAAUUGUGUGAUCAGACAUAGCAGUCCCAUUGGGAAGUUAGGAAUACAUGAUGACCCAGUGUGAAGACAGAAAUAAGACCAGAAAUAAGGAAGGGUGGUAACCCGUACCUGCUUCGUUGCAGUCACGAGCAUGAUGUUCUACACACCAAAAUCCUCUGGUUCAGAGUUCAGCAGUGAGGCUCACCUUACAGUAGAUGAGGUCUGUGACUAGUAGAGCCUUUCAGACUGUUAGGGUAAAGUAUAGAGCUGUUACCAUUUUGUUACCCAGAUACCCAUAAAAGUGUCUGUCAAGCUUGGAGGUAGACAUAGAGGAGGACCAAAUAGCUAAGGGCCAAUGGCUGAACUUUAAUAAUGUUCAAAACUCAACUCUGUGCUUGCCAGACUCCAAAAUCAUGAUACAGUGUUGAGAAAAAUAUUUUCAAAAACAGAAAACAACUUGUUUCAGAAUGGAUAAUGAAUAAAAACAAAAACGCAGUUGGGUUAUGUGCCAUGAGUUUAUUAUUCAAUAAAUAUUAUGUGAUUUGA
rnacentral:lncRNA from 1 species